rnacentral:rRNA from 1 species
UACGAAGGGGGCUAGCGUUGUUCGGAAUCACUGGGCGUAAAGCGCACGUAGGCGGAUUGUUAAGUCGGGGGUGAAAUCCUGAGGCUCAACCUCAGAACUGCCUUCGAUACUGGCGAUCUUGAGUCCGGAAGAGGUUGGUGGAACAGCUAGUGUAGAGGUGAAAUUCGUAGAUAUUCGCAAGAACACCAGUGGCGAAGGCGGCUCACUGGCCCGAUACUGACGCUGAGGCACGAAAGCGUGGGGAGCAAACAGG